UCCGACUGUUUAACAAAAACAUAACCUUUAGCCCAAACAAGUAUUAAAGGCAACGCCUGCCCAGUGAAUAAUUAAACGGCCGCGGUACCCUAACCGUGCAAAGGUAGCGUAAUCACUUGUYUAUUAAUUGUAGACCCGUAUGAAAGGCAAAAUGAGGGCCUAACUGUYUYUUAUAAUAAAUCAAUUAAACUGAUCUCCCAGUACAAAAGCUGGAAUACCAACAUAAGACCAGAAGACCCUGUGAAGCUUAAACUAAACUAUUAAAACACAUAAUAGCUCCUUUCGGUUGGGGSGACCUUGGAAAAAAAAAGAACUUCCAAACGGCCAACAAGCCUUAAACCUGACCCAGCAAGACUGACAACUGAACCAAGUUACUCCAGGGAUAACAGCGCUAUCUUCCUCAAGAGCCCAUAUCAAAAGGAAGGUUUACGACCUCGAUGUUGGAUCAGGACAUCCUAAUGGUGCAGCCGCUAUAAGGUCGUUGU
rnacentral:rRNA from 1 species